rnacentral:rRNA from 1 species
GCUAAAGCAGUAUAGCAUUUCUUUUACACUGAUAAAUUCCCCGUGCAACUCGGAGCAUCCUGAGGCCUAUUAGCUAGCUCGAACAAUAAGAACAAACAACAAAAUUUUAUAACCCCACAUGCCUUAAAACUAAAAAACAAACCAUUUAACCACUUUAGUAUAGGUGAUAGAAACAGAAAUAACGAAGCAAUAGAAAAAGUACCGCAAGGGAAAGCUGAAAAAGAAAUGAAAAAACUCAGUAAAGCAAAAUAAAGCAAAGAUUAAAUCUUGUACCUUUUGCAUCAUGGUUUAGCUAGCCCAACCCAAGCAAAAAGAAUUGUAGUUUGAGACCCCGAAUCCAAGUGAGCUACUCCAGGACAGUCUGAUUAAAGGACAAACCCGUCUCUGUGGCAAGAGAGUGGGAAGAGCCUCGAGUAGAGGUGAUAAACCUACCGAACUUGGUGAUAGCUGGUUGUCUGAGAAAUGAAUAGAAGUUCAGCAUUUAAAAUUCUUAUACCUCACUUUCAGCCGUAGGAUAAAGAAAUUUAAACAGUUAGUUAAAAGGGGUACAGCUCUUUUAACAAAAGAUACAACUUUACACAGAAGGAUAAGGAUCAUAUUUACGCAAGACAUAGUACAAUAGU